UACGUAGGGUGCGAGCGUUAAUCGGGAUUACUGGGCGUAAAGCGUGCGCAGGCGGUUUUGUAAGACAGGCGUGAAAUCCCCGGGCUCAACCUGGGAAUGGCGCUUGUGACUGCAAGGCUGGAGUGCGGCAGAGGGGGAUGGAAUUCCGCGUGUAGCAGUGAAAUGCGUAGAUAUGCGGAGGAACACCGAUGGGGAAGGCAAUCCCCUGGGCCUGCACUGACGCUCAUGCACGAAAGCGUGGGGAGCAAACAGG
rnacentral:rRNA from 1 species